UACGUAGGGUGCAAGCGUUAUCCGGAUUUACUGGGUUUAAAGGGUGCGUAGGCGGUCUUUUAAGUCAGUGGUGAAAUCUCCGGGCUCAACCCGGAAAUUGCCAUUGAUACUAUUAGUCUUGAAUUAAGUUGAGGUGGGCGGAAUGUGUCAUGUAGCGGUGAAAUGCUUAGAUAUGACACAGAACACCGAUUGCGAAGGCAGCUCGCUAAACUUAUAUUGACGCUGAGGCACGAAAGCGUGGGGAGCAAACAGG
rnacentral:rRNA from 1 species